rnacentral:lncRNA from 1 species
AUUCAGUGAUGAAAGGCUGCUGGGUGUAGUCAAGUACUUGACUUGUCGGUGCGUGUGUCAAGAUGGGAUUGACCACUUCAGUUCAGGAGCUGUGUACAAUCAUAUUUUAAUUUAGCAAAAUCUUGGCUAGGGUAGUCCUUGUGAGGAGUCACAGGACUGUUUGAGUUGAGCACGAUUCGGAUGAUCUGAUCAGGGUUGACAGUUUAACCCUGAGUCAUCCUAAACACGGGGGUCAAAAGGAUGAAUUAUACAGUAACCAUAUUCACGUAGGUUCUGAGUGUUGCGAUUGUAACUAUUCGAUCUAUCCGAACAUCGGGUACCAUUGCUAGACGAUCACUUCGAUUAGUACAGAAUUGGUUCCUGUGCUACCGGCUUAGGUUCGAACCUGCGGGGUCACACACAUUAGAGGUUCCUAUCUGAUCUGAUGGCUGAUGAAGAGUUCUAAUGCUCGUGGACUAUGAGUCCUACAUAUCUGGGACUCUAUGAUCGAGAAUCAGGAUUCUCUGAUCGUGAGUACCAUACAUUUUGGGUACCGGGGUCAAGAGUCCCACUAGUUUGGGACUUUUUGAUCAGGAUUUCAUAUCGAUGGACUCUGAUGCCCGAUUGCCCAUC